rnacentral:tRNA from 1 species
ACUCCGUUAGCAUAAUGGUUGAGUGCACUCGACUUUCUAUCGAAGGAUAGGGGUUCGAUUCCCCUACGGAGUA